AUCAUAUUUCUAAGUAAGAACAAAAUUAAAAUACCCGUUCAUUACUAAGUGGGCACUCGUUCUCUCUCCCCGUUAACCCCAAUUGAAGAAUAGCGAUUGGAGGUCCGAAAAAUCCCUAGAAAAAUUCCAUCAAUUACCUUCGAUUCUUACUGUAUUUCCAGUUUAUUCUCUUUGAUUUAUCACCGAAAUCAUCUCUUGUUCUGUAUGUUGUGGGUUUUAUGGUUAUUUACAAUUGAUUUGCUGAUGUUAUCAAUUACGAUUUGAAGAUUCGAGUUGGUUUUUUGGGAAGAUUGUCAACGACUAAUGUUAUUGGACUGUGUAUGACUCAAGAGUUGCAGUUUGCAGGAAUAGAAACCAACAAAUGUUUCCAAUUGCCUGGGCUAUUGUAGACAAAGAGACCAAGUAUAGCUGGUCAUUUUUCAUUACCUGAUAGAAGAUCUUCAAUUAGGAAGUGGACAAGGGCUUACUAUGAUGUCAGAUAUGCAGAAGGGGCUUGUGCCAACUAUACUUGAGCUUCUGCCUAACUGUGAGUACAUGAUGUGUGCAAGAAACAUCUGGUCCAACUGGCAGCAAUACUGAAAAGGAGAGGAGAUGAGAAAGCAAUUUUAGAGAUAUGCUAAAUCAAGUUAUGAAGUGAAAUUAAAAGAGAAGAUGACAAAACUUGAUAAGUUCGGUAAGAAUAUUUGUGAAGACUUGUUAAAAUACAGAAACAAAAUAUGGUGUAGGGCAUACUUUAAAAAGCAUGCCAAGUGUGACAUUAUUAAAAAUAAUAUGUGCGAUACUUUUAACUCCUGAAUUUUAGCUCCUAGACACAAAUCAAUUAUCACUAUGUUGGAGGAAAUUAGAAGGAAAAUAAUGACUAGAAAUGUUGAAAUGUUAAAAUUUGCUGAAACUUGAA